rnacentral:lncRNA from 1 species
GUGUUGGUGACCUAGAGCGGGGGUCUUUUCUUCUUUUCGCCAUGUCUCCAAGGCCAUGGACAUACACAGAGGGUAGGAUGCCCUUCAUGCGGUUUAUAUUACCCCCCACACUCUGA